UACGUAGGGUGCAAGCGUUGUCCGGAAUUAUUGGGCGUAAAGAGCUCGUAGGCGGUUUGUCGCGUCGAAUGUGAAAACCCGGGGCUCAACCCCGGGCCUGCAUUCGAUACGGGCAGACUAGAGUUCGGUAGGGGAGUCUGGAAUUCCUGGUGUAGCGGUGGAAUGCGCAGAUAUCAGGAAGAACACCGGUGGCGAAGGCGGCUCUCUGGGCCUUACCUGACGCUGAGGAGCGAAAGCGUGGGUAGCGAACAGG
rnacentral:rRNA from 1 species